rnacentral:lncRNA from 1 species
GCUGGCACCAUGAGGGUAUUAGCAGAAUUCACUGCCAAUGGCCUGGAACCAGGUGUCCUAAAUUACUGUGUGAGCUGCAGACUGUUGAUUGUGCAGUCAAUCAACAUUAGUAUUAGCACAGCUGUCUAAGAUUGAGGUUAAAGAGAGAGCAAUCAAACCCAUUGUGGACAGUGGGAGAAGGGGUUGCAUGGUGGGUUUCGUGCUAUAAGGAGUGCUGCAGAUUUGUUCAGCUGCUUGGAGUCUCCGAGGCAUCCCUUUCUUUUGAACAAGGUAAUUAAUUACAACUCAAAUGUUAUUGCAACUCUUCCCAUCAGGGAACCUGCUUUGUUUGCCAUGUGUCUGUGUCUCCAUGUGCAGGUUUUGGGGUCACUUUUGUGUCUGGAGCCAUUCCACAAGGAUUACUGAUACAGAGAAAUCCUGAGGAUUGGCCAUAGCUGGUGAAGCCAAAAAAGAGCAUCUGGAAUCUCCCAACUACAGCUGCUCAUGGACCGGCUUCCCACUCACAAAAGCUGAAAUCCAUUAUGAUUUGCAACAGCAUUUACCUUGCAGAGGAGGGCUUGUCCACGGUGCUGCGUUAUGCAAAUUCAGCUUAAUGUACUUUAAUGACACCAGGCAGAUCCCAAAGGCUUUUUAAGGCCGGAUAAAUUCUGAAUUAAUUAUUCUAAUGUUACCAGAAAUUAACUUGGCCCAGAAUAUUUUAAGAUGAAAGGAACCUGUGGUCAGAUAUGCAUGCCACAAGAUAAGGAAGCAAAGCAGUAAUAAGCACAAAUACUGAGGCAAAAAACCAUGUAAUCAGUACCAGCUCAUAAAUAAUUUCAUGCACAAAGAACGUCCCAAGUUGUUGGGCAACUUGGGAUGAGGUAUAAAAACCUGAGCAACCCAUGGUCCUUCCAACCAUUUCUCCUCCCUUCUUUGCCUUGGUCAAUAGGGUAAGUCUGAACUCAUUUAUUCUCUUUGUGUGCAUUGAACUCUUGCCUGGAUGAUGUUGUACCAUUGACAUACAUUCAGCUUAUUCUUCUCUCUGAGAGAGGAAGCUGAGAGGGGUUUUCAUAUGAAAGAGAGAGUUUUCUGUU